GACGAACGCUGGCGGCGUGCUUAACACAUGCAAGUCGAACGGAAAGGCCCUGCUUUUGUGGGGUGCUCGAGUGGCGAACGGUGAGUAACACGUGAGUAACCUGCCCUUGACUUUGGGAUAACUUCAGGAAACUGGGGCUAAUACCGGAUAGGAGCUCCUGCUGCAUGGUGGGGUUGGAAAGUUUCGGCGGUUGGGGAUGGACUCGCGGCUUAUCAGCUUGUUGGUGGGGUAGUGGCUUACCAAGGCUUUGACGGUAGCCGGCCUGAGAGGGUGACCGGCCACAUUGGGACUGAGAUACGGCCCAGACUCCUACGGG
rnacentral:rRNA from 1 species